GAUGAAGAACGCAGCGAAAUGCGAUACUUGGUGUGAAUUGCAGAAUCCCGUGAACCAUCGAGUCUUUGAACGCAAGUUGCGCCCGAAGCCAUUAGGCCGAGGGCACGCCUGCCUGGGCGUCACACGUCGUUGCCCCCCCAUCUACUCCUUCGGGAUUGCGGGGGGCGGAUGAUGGCCUCCCGUGCGCCUCACCGCGCGGUUGGCAUAAAUGCCAAGUCCUCGGCGACGCACGCCACGACAAUCGGUGGUUGCGAAACCUCGGUUGCCCGUCGUGUGCGGUCGUCGCGCAUCGAGGGCUCGAAAAAAUUGCCGGGUUCCGGCUCGGCUUUCAACGCGACCCCAGGUCAGGCGGGGUUACCCGCUGAAUUUAAGCAUAUCAAUAAGCGGAGGA
rnacentral:misc_RNA from 1 species